AGAGUUUGAUCAUGGCUCAGGAUGAACGCUGGCGGUCUGCUUAACACAUGCAAGUCGAACGGAAUCUUUCGGGAUUUAGUGGCGGACGGGUGAGUAACGCGUGAGAAUCUGCCUUCAGGUUCGGGACAACAGUUGGAAACGGCUGCUAAUACCGGAUGUGCCGAGAGGUGAAAGCUUAAGUGCCUGGAGAUGAGCUCGCGUCUGAUUAGCUAGUAGGAGUGGUAACGGCACCCCUAGGCGACGAUCAGUAGCUGGUCUGAGAGGAUGAUCAGCCACACUGGGACUGAGACACGGCCCAGACUCCUACGGGAGGCAGCAGUGGGGAAUUUUCCGCAAUGGGCGCAAGCCUGACGGAGCAAGACCGCGUGAGGGAAGAAGGUCUGUGGAUUGUAAACCUCUUUUGAUCGGGAAGAAGACAGUGACGGUACCGAUCGAAUCAGCUCGACCGGC
rnacentral:rRNA from 1 species